GGUUGAUACAACCGGUUACAAUUUAUAAGACAAUUAUAAGCUAAAUUUGGAAACAUAUCAACUAAAUUUUCUAGUCGAUUCUUUUCUUGGAGUAAUGCCCAAGUUCAGAGCUAAUAGAGGAAAUGAUGACUCGGAUACUGAUCCUCAAAUCUUCUUUUCUAACAAUAUGAAGCAUGUUUUGCAUUUAAAUGAUAAGAAGGAAGGAUUGAAGAGCAACAAGACUUCAGAUUUUUCAUUAUCAACAAGGAGCAUGUUUUAUUUCAUUAGUAUAUCCUUCAAAUUUCAACUACGUAAAUGGCGUAUCGAUGGUUUCAACAACAAGUGGGCUUAGCAAAAGUUGCAGCGGGGGCUGUAAAAAAUCGUAAGAAUAUGUUUUAAAUGUUUUUUUUCUGUGUUUGUUACUAAUCUUUUGUUCAGUGAUUUCCUUAAGGUACGAGUUUGUUUGUAAUUAUCCAUCCAAGGUAUGUUUUAUGGGUUUUGAUUUUUUUUUCUUCCUAAUUUGGUUGUUGUGUACAUUUACUUUUCCUAAACUAUUAUAUAAUCUUAAAUGUUCUAUUUUGUUGAUAUCAUAUAUGAAACAUGGAAGAAGCAGGGGCAUGAGGAAUUGAGGAGACUGAGAAAUCCAAUUGAUGUUCUCUGUAAGUUAAGAGAUUUGAUUGAGAUUACCUGGAUCAUGGUGAUGCUUGUGGUUUUACCUGGAGAAUGUAAUUAACAUAUAUCAACAAUAUCUCUUGAGUACAACCCUCACGAAAAGAUAUCCUUUACAUACAUUGUUUCAGAAGACAUUACAUUUUGAUUGGAAACCAGGUGUUGUAUGAUAAGAAAGGAUGACGUUGGAAGAAAAAGAAAAUGUUCAUAUUUUUCAUUAAGAACAAGCUCUCAGUAAUAUAGUUCAGUAUCAUCAUCAGUAAUCAGAUUGGACUUCAGUAAUCUUGCAUCAGUAUCAUCAUUCAGUCUCGCUACUUUUUCAGUAAUGGUACUUCAAUAUUUGAC